GAGUUGAUCCUGGCUCGGACGAACGCUGGCGGCGUGCUUAAUACAUGCAAGUCGAGCGACGAAAGGAGAAGGGGUAACCCUUCUCCCUGAAAGCGGCGAACGGGUGAGUAACACGUGGGUAACGCGCCCCAGACUCCGGGAUAACGACGGGAAACCGUCGCUAAUACCGGAUGACCCCUGCGUACCGCAUGGCAUGCAGGGCAAAGUUCUUCGGUCUGGGAUCGGCCCGCGGUGUAUCAGCUUGUUGGUGGGGUAACGGCCUACCAAGGCUUUGACGCAUAGCUGGCGUGAGAGCGCGACCAGCCACACUGGGACUGAGACACGGCCCAGACUCCUACGGGAGGCAGCAGUAGGGAAUCUUGCGCAAUGGGCGAAAGCCUGACGCAGCGACGCCGCGUGAGGGAUGACGGCCUUCGGGUUGUAAACCUCUUUCAGCAGGGACGAAGCCUCACGGUGACGGUACCUGCAGAAGAAGGUCCGGCCAACUACGUGCCAGCAGCCGCGGUAAUACGUAGGGACCAAGCGUUGUCCGGAUUUAUUGGGCGUAAAGAGCUCGUAGGCGGCUAUUCGCGUCGGAUGUGAAAGCUCGGGGCUCAACCCUGAGAGGCCAUUCGAUACGGGAUAGCUAGAGGCAGGUAGGGGAAAGUGGAAUUCCUGGUGUAGCGGUGAAAUGCGCAGAUAUCAGGAGGAACACCGGUGGCGAAGGCGGCUUUCUGGGCCUUGCCUGACGCUGAGGAGCGAAAGCUGGGGGAGCGAACAGGAUUAGAUACCCUGGUAGUCCCAGCCGUAAACGUUGGGUGCUAGGUGUGGGGGAGGUCUUCAACCCUCUCCGUGCCGAAGCUAACGCAUUAAGCACCCCGCCUGGGGAGUACGGCCGCAAGGCUAAAACUCAAAGGAAUUGACGGGGGCCCGCACAAGCGGCGGAGCAUGUGGCUUAAUUCGAUGCAACGCGAAGAACCUUACCUAGGCUUGACAUGCUAGUUAAAGCGUGUGAAAGCACGUGUCCGCAAGGGGCUAGCACAGGUGCUGCAUGGUUGUCGUCAGCUCGUGCCCUGAGGUGGUUGGCUAAAGUGCCCGAACGAACCGCAACC
rnacentral:rRNA from 1 species